rnacentral:miRNA from 8 species
ACCUUGGCUUUAGACUGCUUACU